AACGAACGCUGGCGGCAUGCCUAACACAUGCAAGUCGAACGAGACCUUCGGGUCUAGUGGCGCACGGGUGCGUAACGCGUGGGAACCUGCCCUUAGGUUCGGAAUAACUCCCCGAAAGGGGUGCUAAUACCGGAUAAUGUCUUCGGACCAAAGAUUUAUCGCCUUUGGAUGGGCCCGCGUUGGAUUAGCUAGUUGGUAGGGUAAAAGCUUACCAAGGCGACGAUCCAUAGCUGGUCUGAGGGGAUGGUCAGCCACACUGGGACUGAGACACGGCCCAAAUCCCCCGGGAGGGGAGAAAGGGGGAAGUAGGGACAAGGGGCGAAAGCCGAAGCCCUCAGGCCCGGGAAAGUGUGUAAGGCGGGAGGUUUAAAAGUGUAUUUAACCAGGGAUGUAAAGACAGUACCCGGGAAAAAAGCCCCGGCUAACUCCGUG
rnacentral:rRNA from 1 species